rnacentral:lncRNA from 1 species
AACAUAAUUUGAAGAAAGAAAUUGAUUGCUCAGAGAAGGUACACACCACAAAAUUAAGAUGGAAAGAUUACCAGCAGGCAGCAGAUCUGUCUUUGAAUAUUCUGUUGGUUAGUUGGUUAGAACAACAGAACCGUGCAACUGCUGAACAAGGUGAGGUGACACCUUUUGUUGCUUUCUAUUCUGUCACUUCGACAUUUAUCAGUAGAAUUCUCUUAUGGGUUUUAUAGAUUUUCAAUUCUACAUCUUGAUGGAGUUCUUUGACAUUUAAAUUGAUUGAUUUUUACUUCGAUGAAUGAGUGAAAUAUUGAUUUCAAGGAGAAUUGAGAUAGGGGCAGCCCCUCUUUAAAGAUGAUAAGAGAUGAACACUAAGCAUCUGAAAACUUCAAAAUAUGUGUUCUAGGGAUACAUGUGGUUUAGUAGGGACCCAGUUGAUCCUAGAAGAACUGUGUAUGUGGUCUUUGGAAUUUAUGCUGAGUGGCAAGGAGCAAGGCAUUUUAUUGUGCAAAAGAG